GAUGAAGAACGUAGCGAAAUGCGAUAAGUAGUGUGAAUUGCAGAAUUCAGUGAAUCAUCGAAUCUUUGAACGCACAUUGCGCCCCUCGGUAUUCCGUGGGGCAUGCCUGUUCGAGCGACAUUUAACCCCUCAAGCCUAGCUUGGUAUUGGGUGCUUGUCCCGCCUCUCGCGCGGCGACUCACCUCAAAGUCAUUGGCAGCCCGCAUCUCGCCGGCCGUGAGCGCAGCACAGACGCGCUCUUGGCAACGACGGAUCGGCUCUCCAAAAGCUUAUUUCAACCACUGACCUCGGAUCAGGUAGGGAUACCCGCUGAACUUAAGCAUAUCAAUAAGCGGAGGA
rnacentral:misc_RNA from 1 species